rnacentral:lncRNA from 1 species
GAGCCAGUAAAGAAACUGUUAGAAAGCAGAUACCAUCAGAUAGGCUCUGGGAAGUGUGAAAUCAAAGUUGCACAACCCAAAGAGGUGUACAGGCAGCAGCAGCAGCAACAGAAAGGUGGAAGAGGGGCUGCGGCUGGUGGAAGAGGUGGUGCUAGGGGACGCGGAAGAGGUGAGCCUUGCUCUGGGCCUGCUGAGAUUUAAACUGAAGCAGUGAGCAGCUGGGUAGCUGACCCAUAAGGGACACCCCAGACUGAAGUUGGGAGAGUCCCACCUGGUGGCCUGGCCUGCGGGGGGAGGGGGUUGAAUAGGAGUAAACAGUGUAGGGGACAGGAGGGGGUCAGUUUGCGGUGGGAUUGGGACAGUCCAAGUUGUUCCUAACCAUCCUUGUGCAUUGUUUCAGGUCAGGGCCAAAACUGGAACCAAGGAUUUAAUAACUAUUAUGAUCAAGGAUAUGGAAAUUAUAAUAGUGCCUAUGGUGAUGAGAGCUAUAGUGGCUAUGGCGGCUAUGACUAUACGGGGUAUAACUAUGGGAGCUAUGGAUAUGGACAGGGAUAUACAGACUACAGCGGUAAGAGCACCUGCCUACCCGUUAAGUGCUUCCCACUCUGUCGUCCUGUGUGUGUGUGUGUGUGUGUGCGCGCGUGCGCGCGCGCAUUUUCCUGUUGACAUGUCCGCAGCUAUUGCCUGUACCGACUAUUGUGUUUUCAUGUUUGUGCGGCAUGCAGGGGUUCUUACGGGAAGAUUUUUUUCUGUGUUUAGGAAAACAAUUUUUUAGGAAACUUGGUUAGUAAAACUCGUCUCCUCUCCCAUAG